rnacentral:lncRNA from 1 species
UUUUUCAUGAGAAUUUCUUCCUGUGUUAAGAGAGGUGUCAGUUUCCAAAUACUAGGUUGCAUGUUUGUAACGGAGCUUUGUAUUGCAUUGUGAAAACCUCUGCACCUUGGUUGGCAUGGUCACAUGUCUGUUGACAGAUGUUUCAAAGUUCUGUGGGAAAUGUGGGUUCAAUUCGACACCUUCAAGGCCCUCCGAGCCUUUUUUAACAUAGUGUGUUUCGAGAUAGGGAGCCAGCCUUGGGUGCAGCCCUAAAAACCAAAAAUAAAAUAAGAAUAAAAUAAGAUAGGGAGCCAGCUCUGGGAACAGAUCAUCGUUAUCUGUCAGCUCAAUAAAGCCAUCAAUGUUGGCAACUGGAAGAGAUGCUAACAUAUUUCAACUGGUUAAAAACAAACUGUGAGGAGUUCCCACUGUGGCGCAGUGGUUAAUGAAUCCGACUAGGAACCAUGAGGUUGAUUUGGGUUCGACCCCUGGCCUUGCUCGAUGGGUUAAAGGAUCUGACAUUGCUGUGAGCUUCAGUGUAGAUCUCCGAUGCAGCUUGUGUCUGGUGUUGCUGUGGCUGUGGCCAGUGACUGCAGCUCCUAUUUGACCCCUAGCCUGGGAACCUCCAUAUGCCUCGGGGGUGGCCCUAAAAAACAACAACAAAAGCUUGUCGAACAAAUGAAUGAAGCUGGUAGAAAGUGUUCAUAGUUCUCUGGUGGCUCAGUGGGCUAAGGAUCUGGCAUUGCCAUGGUGGCUCGGGUUUGAUCCCUGGCCCCGGGAACUGUGCAUUAAAUUCACUUUGGCUUAUUACACAGAAGGACAAAAGAAAAUUCGUUCUCUGCAGCUUGAACAACCACUGAUACCGAACGAAAUAUAAGGGCUUCGUAAAGUGUAAACCACUGGACAAAUGGAGUUAUAAUCAUAAUGUGACAUCAUGCUAGACGCAGUGUGCUUCAUAAAAAAGGACAGGACGACAUCCCUGCCCUGGUGAAUAAAUACAUCAGCCAGUUGAGAUGCUCACAGAAGACCCCUGACCAAGAGAAAAUGUUCAUUGUAGGUACACUACACUAAAUUUAUGAGACUAUUGGAGACUUUUAUACAGAGAAAGUAUUUAAGAAAGUAUUAUCAAUUUUAAGAAUAGAACUUUGAAAAUGUAUGUUGUUUUUAAAUAAUAAUACAAAAUUAGUGUUUAUCAAAAAGUAGCUCUAUAUGGAAAAAAGUGAAUGCCUUGUCAAUAAAGUUUAAUUUAGUGUAAACCAAAUGGAUCCCAUUUCUGGUUUCUCUCUGUGCACAGUGAAAUUAUCCACCUGCUGUAAGUACACAAGAGUGGCAUCUAGUGGCCACCAGCAUAAACUACAGCUCCUUGAAAGAUCAAAUCACAGACAGCCUGUCUUUUCAUCCAUUUUGCGUCUUAUCAAAUUUCCAGAUUUCAUUAUUUAUUUUUAAUGGAGACUUAUAUGGAGUUGUCCAGAUCUGGUCUUGUUGAGUUAGGAUGUUAAACAACAAUAAUAACAAAUACCACCUACUUUCUAACGACAAGAUAGAAUAUAAUCUCAGAAUAAAGGAAAGGUACUUCAAAUGGCAAAUAUUUAGCUUUAUAAAAAAUGUACCAUAUUGUCUUUUCUUUCCUCAGUAGGGAAAUGAGACCUGGAAAACUUGAUGGCCAGGUACCAGUGCACAGCCCGAUCAUUAGGAACUGCUACACAGUUGACAAAUUCUUUCUAUAGCAUCCUCUGCUUAGUACUCCCAGCAGUGGGAGAGGUGCCCCCUCCCACUACCUCUGUCCAGCCUGGCUAGGUAGGAGGUUUCUCUUCAAGUGAGAGUAAAAUACACAGCCUCUACCCAGGGUUCUUGAUUUUGGCCUGGGGUGGGUGUCUCCAAGAAAAGUCUAAACCCUUUGUUAUUUUGAUGUGUGAAAGCAGCUCUCAAAUCCCCAGUGCAAACCUCCUUGAAAUCUCUUCCCUAAACUGAAUCCCCGUUUUCCUUCAACCAGUAUUUACUCUCAGCUGGCAGAGCAAUAAAGUACAUUUUAUGCCUUCCAGUCAUAAAAUGUCUGAUUGCUACAAAGUUAAGAUUAUAGACAUGCAGGAAAAUAUCCCGUGAAAGAUUAGAAAUCUGAAAACUUCCCUAGGCUAACCAACCUAGAGCAUUACAGAGGUUUAUGAUUCAACUGCAUGGCAGACAGGCAGCAGGCACCUCAGGGCUGGAGUCUCUUAUAUUACAAAUUAUCUCACUUGUAGCUCUAGGUCAAAUCUCCUCCCCCACGCCUCCUGACUCAAUGAAUAAUGCUGAGCCCUUUCAAUGAUCACACUCCAUUACUGAUUUAAGUUUCUUGUUCUUGGGGUGUGCUUUCAACUGAAACAGAUGGAUUAGUGUGCCUGCCCUUUAAUUCGUUUUAGCUUUGAGUAAUUAAAAGGAAAAAAAACCACACAACACGAAUUAUCAACAGUGGUGAAUAAGACGAUUUGUUCCUCUUUGGUGUGAAAACCUGAGAGUAGGCAUUCUAGGGCUGGUAGGAUGUUCCAGACAAUGCUAGGAACCUAGGCUCCUUCUGUCUUGUUCCACCAUGCAUGGUUUCCACUCUCUAGGUCACUCUAUGGCCCAAUAAGACUUCUGUUGCUCCAGCCAUUACAUCCACAUUCUGGCCAGAUGAAAGGAGGAAAAGCAAAGAAUAGUAUUCGCUCCCUAUUUAAGGACAGUUCCCAGACAUUACACCCACUUUUUUUGUUUGUUUUGUUUUGUUUUGGGUUUGUUUGUUUUGUCUAGCACUGCACCUGCAGCAUAAGGAGGUUUCCAGGCUAAGGGCCAAAUCAGAGCUACAGCUGCCAGCCUACGUCACAGCCACAACCUCACAGGAUCCGAGCCACAUCUGGGACCUACACCAUAGCUCACAGCAAUGCCAGAUCCUUAACUCACUGAUGGAGGCCAGGGAUAGAACCUGCAGCCUCAUGGUUACUACUCAGAUUCCUUUCCACUGCUCCGCAAUGGAAACUCCUCCAUCCACCCCACCCCACCCCACUUUUACUGGCCAUUCCUAGCUCUAAGGAAGGCUGCGUUGUAAUUGUUCUGAUAAUAAGUGAAAGGGAAACCAUGAUUGGAACAACCAGUUUUGUUGACAACUAGCUUGUGACACAUGUACAAGAUCAGAUACAGAUCAAAUGAGCACUAAUCUAUCCUGGUGGUCAGACUCUUGGAAAACCACUAAAUACCAAAUUGUGUAGGACUCCACAUCUCAAAUUUCCUAAAACAAGAUCAACGACUAUUACCAGUGGGCAAAAUUGGGACCAACGAGAACAUACCCAAUAGAAUCACGACUGUCCAAGCAAAAGGGUUGUUUUAACUCAGAUCAGUGUUUCUCUGCAGGAGUUCUUUCCCAGCAUUUCUCAGAAAUAUUACGUUUUUACAGAGCCCGAAUCUUAAUAAACGUUGAGGAAUCUAGAAACCUGGGAAAACUAAUCUGUGAGAAUUAAAACUUAAUGAUCAACAUAGAGCUGUCACUUGUUCAAAGAAAUCCACCAAUCCCAAAUCAAAAGUGACACUAGAACACACUAAAGCAUGUAUUGGAAAAAUCAAGGUUGACAGGUGCUGAAUGGAAGGGAGCAGGAAGGAGAGAAGCAGUCACAAUACAAUCAGCGGUGCCUGUACCCGUUGCCACCUUCUAAGCAGAGUGUCCUGGGGCUGGCUCACACAAGAGAUAGAGAGCCAGCCAGAAAGAGCAUCUCUUUCUGACCCUCGGUGACAUCACACCAGUAACUUGAAAUUGACCCAAGUGGGAAUAUUUAUACCUCCUCUCUCGGAAAUUGGCAAAAACUACAUGUCACAACGGUUUUUUUCUUCCCAGAGAGUCAGUGUACCAGUACUCACUGGUCCUAAGUGUGUGCUUGUGGCUUGGUCUCUUUCUAACGGUAAGUCACUUUUACAAAUAAAAUAAAUCUAGGUUCAUACACAUAAGGUACUUAUACGUAUCCUAUGAGUGGUGUCAGAAAACAUCGCAAACUUUGGAAGCAAAAUAAGACCUAAUAUUGGCAAUUUCAAUGCCUAAGUCUGUGUAGUGCUAGGACACUUGCUAGUGGGUCUGAACAUUAAUGUUAUUUGAAAACUUCCCAAUAAUGAAGGCUGACAUUUCCGAGGGUCUGAGUACUCACCAUAGGAUGCAGUUCUUUGUAAAUACUUCACAGAAGAGAUGUGAAAAGAAAAAGAUGUGAUUUGUUGUAGAACACUGCAACAUUGAAAUCAGAGACUCUUCUAAAAUCUGGCCAGAGCAACUUUUUUUUUUUUUUUUUUUUUUUUUUUUUUUUUGGAAACCCAAGGGCUGGAUUUAUUUGCCACUAUUCAUUUUCUUUUUUAUUUUAUUUUUUUAUCUUUUGGACUUUUUAGGGCUGUACAUGCAGCAUAUGGAAGUUCCCAGGCUAGGGGUCAAAUCAGAGCUGUAGCCUCUAACCUACACCACAGCCACAGUAAUGCCAGAUCCUUAACCCACUGAGCGAGGCCAGGGAUCGAACCCAUGU